CACCACCGAAAACUUCAGACGAUGAACCUGAAGUACAAAGACAUUUUGAUGGAAACUGGGGUGAUGCUGCUGGCAGGUAUGUCAGUGAUGGAGACAGAGGCGAUGCUGCGGCCAGGUCUGUCAGUGAUGGAGACUGGGGCGAUGCUGCUGCCAGGUCUGUCAGUGAUGGAGACUGGGGCGAUGCUGCGGCCAGGUCUGUCAGUGAUGGAGACUGUGGCGAUGCUGCUGCCAGGUCUGUCAGUGAUGGAGACUAAGGCGAUGCGUCAGUGAUGGAGACUGGGGCGAUGCUGCUGCCAGGUCUGUCAGUGAUGGAGACUGGGGCGAUGCUGUGGCCAGGUCUGUCAGUGAUGGAGACUGGGGUGAUGUGUCAGUGAUGGAGACUGGGGAGAUGCUGCUGCCAGGUAUGUCAGUGAUGGUGACUGAGGCGAUGUGUCAGUGAUGGAGACUGGAGACUGGGGCGAUGCUGCGGCCAAGGUAGAAUCUCAUGAAAAGGAGUGGAGAAUGGUAAAGAACACUCGUGAGCCAUAUUCCUCCUCAAACAUGAUUGCCCUUUGUUUGAGGCAUAUCUCUGAUAACAGUUUCAUGCUUGUGUUUCGGAUGUUUGUCCGUAUUGCUCCAUCAAGGCGAGAGUCACAGGGACUCGAGGUGUAGGGUUCAAGGUGGUUAUACACCAUACAAAGGAACAUUUUUGCGCCAUCAUUUUUUUCUGGGGUUGUUGACAAUACCUCACAGCAUGCUUUGUCAUUUAGCAUGUAAAUGUUGUUUGGAUGUUUGCUACUUACUUUGCCUUCUUUCUCAGUAAGUUCCCUCCUGAGACUUCCACCCUCAUUCAGUCUUUUCACAAUUUGGACCAGAGGACUUCUUCCCGAGCGGACCAGUUUUUUCAAAUGGUGAAGAUAAUUCUCAAAGGGGAAUGCACUGCAGUUGUCCAGGCAGCCACAUUUUUUAGCAUCAGCAGCAAGGUGCAGCAUGGAGUGGACGUUGUAGACUAGGAAGCACUCCCCAUACAAAAACCUUCCUUGCUGUACAAAAAAUGAGAGCAGUUCAUGUGCAUACGAGCAGUGGGCUUGCACCAGGCUUGGAGAAAUUAGCAUGCACAUUGCAACGCUGAAAGCCAUGAAAUGCUCAAACAGGUCAUCUUGAAGAACUCCCCUCAGGACUAACUUGCCAGUGUAAAGAGCAAACUGACGGAACUCUGUGGCCUUCCAACUCUCAAGAUGUUCCAAACCCCUUGGCUUUCUUGCAAAAUUGUUUGGAAUAGCUGUCUUCAGUUGCUCAAGUCUCACACUCACCUCCUUAAUCUGCCCUGAGGACAUUCUUGUCUCCUUCUUUCCUUUUGUCCACAAAAGCAAAAGCUUCUUCAUUACCCCAAGGCAACACUGGUGCAUAUAGUCCACAGGAAAGGAUGUGACCAUGUCAAUAGAGAGGUUGGAGAAAGGUGAUGUUUUUCCUUCAUGGUGAUGUUCCAGUUGAGUUACCUCUCUGAAGGAUUGGUCAGUCCUCAGUGUGAGGUUUUCAACCUCUUGAUAGGUCAUCCGUCCAUCCCAGAACCCCUUCUGUGUACACCUGUCACAACCAAAGUACCCCGAGUACUGCUUGAUACAUUUGACAAGUGCCUUCGCAGGAGCGUCACAAGUUAUGCACCUUAUCUGGACACGUAUCACCUUGUCUCCCCACUCCAAGCCAUUCUGCAUCACGUUCUCCAAUUUGCUGACUGUUUCGCUGAUGAAGUUGAGGGAGGUUGGUUUGGAUGACACCAAAGCCAGAGACAGGGGGAAAAUAGAUUUAGGUGACAAAUUGAUGCAGCAGAGAACAGGCCAAAGAGAUUGGUUGUUGCUUUUAAAAAGAGGCAAGCCAUCAACAUUCAGGGAGAUGUCUACACUGUCUAAUUUUUCAAGCACUGCUUGGGGAUACUUUUUAAGAUGUUCCAGAAUCUGCCCUCAACAAACUGAACACACUGCAUUCCAGACUCAGUCUCCACAUCCACUUCAUUGGUACUCUCCAACAAGGUUCUUGCAGUGGAAGGAAGCUCUGGAUGACCAUUUAUUUUCAGGACCUUCUAUAAGGCAUCCACAGCAUUGUGUUUCUCUCCAAAAUCAAUGGCCCAUUCUUUAAGUUGCUCCCUAAAGGAAGAGGCAACUGCACUGUCCUCAUCACCAUCACAGGAAUCCUCUGAUCUCUCCAUUUGUUCCAACUCAGUCUCAGGGACAAUGUUGGUAUCGUCAUGCAGCUGCUCUUCGAUGGUACAUCCACCUCCACUCCCAGGGCUAUCAUCACUGUACAUCUCCUGAUCAUUGUGAUUCUGCAGCUCAUUUGGUUCUCCAUCACGUGUAUUCUUUUUCUGGGCUCUUGACACCCUUGCCCAGAUCCGGUUGUAUUCUCGCCUCUGAUCAGCUGACGACAUCUGCUCAGUGGAUACAGCCCUAAAAUGGUGUGCCUUGAAGAUUUUGAGCCACAUUAUAAAACCUUUUAUUUUUUUGCAUUUGAUUGAAGAAUGACAG
ensembl:lncRNA